GUGGUUUAUGUCCUGUAAGAAAGACAGAAAACAAUAGUAAAUUGAAACAACUAUGUAAACAGUGUUUAGUUAUGUUAACUAAGACGGAUGUGGUCAAGAUUGGAGUUCCUUUCAUUUAUAUAAAAUGCGAAAGACAAACUCAGUACCUCAAGAUACCGAAGCGGAAUCACACUCACUUUCAACAUACAAGAAGAAAUGAAAAACAUAACUGUGUUAUGCCUUAUUAUUUGCCUUUGCAUGGCAUCAACGUUUGCAGAUGAGAAGUUGUUCAGAGUAAAGCGGAUUACUUGUGGAGGUAUCAUUGAAAGAUAUAUGGGGAAUGGAGCUUGUAACGCACACUGUCGAAUUAUUAGGAAAGGCAGAGGGUCAUGUAGUGGUGGAACCUGCUAUUGUGGUAGUGGCUGAUCACAGUAAUAUAAGCAGGAGGCUGUUCAGUUAUUUGUUCGUACUCUAGUUUCAUUGUAUCUACAUUUGUGUAUUUGUUCACGAAAUUGUGUGCAUUAUAUAUGCUGCUCUCCUGGUUAUUUCUUCGUAUAUGGUAUGGCUUCAGAAUGAGAAAAAAAUAUACUACUGCCUUAACACGGGUUUUGCUUGACUUGUGAUGUUUUCUUUCAAGAUCGUUAACUAUAUCUAUACUUCAUUGUAAAGGUCUCUGAGGGUGAUAGUAGUAUCUUGUCAAAGUUAUGGCCGAAUGCAUUUUACCAUUGCUAAAAUCCUUGAAAGAAAUCAUUUUUAAAAACUGCUUGUGCCAAAAAUGGCUGAAAUUCAACUGACAUCAUGUUUCGCACAACAUCAGGACGUCACAAAGUUAAUGUUGGAAAAAGUAAAUUAUAUAGAUGAUUAUUACAACCAUCUCUUCAUCAAAGUUUGUGUUGAUAAGAAUAUCUGAUUUUAUUAAAUAAUUUGAAUAAAUUGAUUUCUAAUGCUGAUCUGUUUCAACUAUGCCGAAGACAAUUUUAAAAGGCUGCUUUGAAUAGGAUGAAACGUUGCUCAUAAAAUCAUUCAAUAUGUCCUUCCUGUCUAUUUUCUCUUCAGGAAUAUUAUGUUGUUUUGUUUCACACAAUCCACGAAAAUGUUAAAUAUUAUGUUGUUUUGUAAAUUAAAGAUGCACCACAAAAUAA
rnacentral:lncRNA from 1 species